rnacentral:SRP_RNA from 4 species
GGAGAUUGGUGGCAGGUGGAGGUUACGCUAAUCCGGUCAGGUCUGAAAAGAAGCAGCCGUAACGAUAAUUUUUCAGGUUGUCCUCAGUCUCCCGU